rnacentral:misc_RNA from 1 species
GUCGUAACAAGGUUUCCGUAGGUGAACCUGCGGAAGGAUCAUUACCAUACUCCAAAACCUAAACCAUCAAAGUGGAAACACUAACGGCUGUAGUAAGGCCUGGCUUUCAAGUCAGGCCUGAACCACUGUUGGCUAGUACUCUUUGCGUAACGAGAUACUGGUCUACCCUACGGGGCGGGCACUGCUAGUAAUACUUUUUCUUUUGUUCCUUUGUGAACUACCUUGUGACUUUAAACGAAGAUAACGUAUGUUAGCUCAUACAUAUCUAUAAAACAAACCAAACAGUUUCAGCAACGAAUGUCUAGGUUCCUA